UUCCGACACGGGGAAUUGAACCCCGGCCUCCUCGGACCUGAGCCUAUACAGGCGUUGAGAGCGAGAAAUCCUAGCCACUAGACCAUAUCGGA
rnacentral:tRNA from 1 species